rnacentral:rRNA from 1 species
AACUGGGGAUAAUUCCGGAUAACGCAUAUUUGCUGGAAUGCUUUAUGCGUCAAAAGGAUUCGUCUGCCCAAGGAUGGGUCUGCGGCCUAUCAGGUAGUAGUGGGUGUAAUGUACCUACUAGCCAGCGACGGGUACGGGUUGUGAGAGCAAGAGCCCGGAGAUGGAUUCUGAGACAUGAAUCCAGGCCCUACGGGGCGCAGCAGGCGCGAAAACUUUACAAUGCGGGAAACCGUGAUAAGGGGACACCGAGUGCCAGCAUCAUAUGCUGGCUGUCCGGAUGUGUAAAAUACAUCCGUUAGCAAGGGCCGGGCAAGACCGGUGCCAGCCGCCGCGGUAACACCGGCGGCCCGAGUGGUGAUCGUGAUUAUUGGGUCUAAAGGGUCCGUAGCCGGUUUGGUCAGUCCUCCGGGAAAUCUGAUAGCUCAACUAUUAGGCUUUCGGGGGAUACUGCCAGACUUGGAACCGGGAGAGGUAAGAGGUACUACAGGGGUAGGAGUGAAAUCUUGUAAUCCCUGUGGGACCACCUGUGGCGAAGGCGUCUUACCAGAACGGGUUCGACGGUGAGGGACGAAAGCUGGGGGCACGAACCGGAUUAGAUACCCGGGUAGUCCCAGCCGUAAACGAUGCUCGCUAGGUGUCAGGCAUGGCGCGACCGUGUCUGGUGCCGCAGGGAAGCCGUGAAGCGAGCCACCUGGGAAGUACGGCCGCAAGGCUGAAACUUAAAGGAAUUGGCGGGGGAGCACAACAACGGGUGGAGCCUGCGGUUUAAUUGGACUCAACGCCGGACAACUCACCGGGGGCGACAGCAAUAUGUAGGCCAAGCUGAAGACUUUGCCUGAAUCGCUGAGAGGAGGUGCAUGGCCGUCGCCAGUUCGUACUGUGAAGCAUCCUGUUAAGUCAGGCAACGAGCGAGACCCGUGCCCACUGUUACCAGCAUGUCCUCCGGGACGAUGGGUACUCUGUGGGGACCGCCGAUGUUAAAUCGGAGGAAGGUGCGGGCCACGGUAGGUCAGUAUGCCCCGAAUCUCCCGGGCUACACGCGGGCUACAAUGGAUGGGACAAUGGGUCCCUCCCCUGAAAAGGGCUGGUAAU